rnacentral:rRNA from 1 species
UCUGGUUGAUCCUGCCAGAGGCUACUGCUAUCGGGGUCCGACUAAGCCAUGCGAGUUGAGAGGGGUAAGCCCUCGGCAUAUUGCUCAGUAACACGCGGAUAACCUGCCCUUGGGUCCGGGAUAACCCCGGGAAACUGGGACUAAUACCGGAUAGAUCAAGGAUACUGGAAUGUUCUCUGGUCCAAAACUCCGGUGCCCAAGGAUGGGUCUGCGGCCUAUCAGUUUGUUGGUGAGGUAAUGGCCCACCAAGACUAUUACAGGUACGGGCUCUGAGAGGAGUAGCCCGGAGAUGGGUACUGAGACACGGACCCAGGCCCUAUGGGGCGCAGCAGGCGAGAAAACUUUGCAAUGUGCGAAAGCACGACAAGGCUAAUCCGAGUGGUUUCUGCUAAAGAAACCUUUUGUCAGUCCUAGAAACACUAACGAAUAAGGGGUGGGCAAGUUCUGGUGUCAGCCGCCGCGGUAAAACCAGCACCUCAAGUGGUCAGGAUGAUUAUUGGGCCUAAAGCAUCCGUAGCCCGUUUUGUAAGUUUUCGGUUAAAUCCAUGCGCUUAACGUAUGGGCUGCCGGGAAUACUGCAUAACUAGGAAGUGGGAGAGGUAGACGGUACUCGGUAGGAAGGGGUAAAAUCCUUUGAUCUAUUGAUGACCACCUGUGGCGAAGGCGGUCUACCAGAACACGUUCGACGGUGAGGGAUGAAAGCUGGGGGAGCAAACCGGAUUAGAUACCCGGGUAGUCCCAGCUGUAAACUAUGCAAACUCAGUGAUGCAUUGGCUUGUGGCCAAUGCAGUGCUGCAGGGAAGCCGUUAAGUUUGCCGCCUGGGAAGUACGUACGCAAGUAUGAAACUUAAAGGAAUUGGCGGGGGAGCACCACAAGGGGUGAAGCCUGCGGUUCAAUUGGAGUCAACGCCGGG